rnacentral:rRNA from 1 species
GAGGGGCAGCGGGGAGGUAGCAAUACUUCCGCCGGCGACCGGCGCACGGGUGAGUAACACGUAUGGAACCUGCCCGUAGCAGGGGGAUAAGCGGAAGAAAUUCCGUCUAAUACCGCGUAAUAACUCCGAGAGGCAUCUCAUGGAGUUUAAAGGGUAACACCGGCUACGGAUGGCCAUGCGGCGCAUUAGCUAGUUGGCGGGGUAACGGCCCACCAAGGCGACGAUGCGUAGGGGUUCUGAGAGGAAGGUCCCCCACACUGGUACUGAGACACGGACCAGACUCCUACGGGAGGCAGCAGUGAGGAAUAUUGGUCAAUGGGCGCGAGCCUGAACCAGCCAAGUCGCGUGAGGGAAGACGGUCCUAUGGAUUGUAAACCUCUUUUGUCGGGGAGCAAAAGACGCCACGUGUGGCGUUCCGAGAGUACCCGAAGAAAAAGCAUCGGCUAACUCCGUGCCAGCAGCCGCGGUAAUACGGAGGAUGCGAGCGUUAUCCGGAUUUAUUGGGUUUAAAGGGUGCGCAGGCGGAAGAUCAAGUCAGCGGUAAAAUUGAGAGGCUCAACCUCUUCGAG